GACGAAGGGGGCUAGCGUUGUUCGGAAUUACUGGGCGUAAAGCGCGUGUAGGCGGUUAUCCAAGUCGGGUGUGAAAGCCUUGAGCUCAACUCAAGAAAUGCAUUCGGUACUGGGUGACUAGAGGACCGGAGAGGAUAGUGGAAUUCCCAGUGUAGUGGUGAAAUACGUAGAUAUCGGGAGGAACACCAGUGGCGAAGGCGGCUAUCUGGCCUGCAACUGACGCUGAGGCACGAAGGCUAGGGGAGCGAACAGG
rnacentral:rRNA from 1 species